GGCGACGAAGGCACUGGCCGCGCGAGCUCAAGAGGCGGCGGCCCGUGCAGCCUUUGUGGGCAUGUAAGCGGAGGUGACCAGGGCCAGAUAGUGGAGGGGAAACCGCAUGGCCAGCCUCCAAGUGGGGCCGGAGCUACUCUGCCAGGGUUUAAAACUUUAAAUGAGAAUAAAGAGUAUUUACAAGGAAAUGAAAGUGAGUAAGUCAUCUCUAACUGCUUCCAGACUUUUUUUCCUAAGAGAGACCAUAUUAAACUUACAUAUUUGAAGAUUGCAUAAUCCUGCCUCCAGCACCAGUGGUUUCUCUGUUUUGUGAUCAAUGUGACUCACAAGAACUUCUUUAGUAACAAACGAAAUGAUCCAGGGGCGUGGAAAAUAUGACUUUUACAUUGGUCUGGGAUUGGCUAUGAGUUCCAGCAUUUUCAGUGGCGGGAGUUUCAUUUUGAAAAAAAAAAGGUCUUCUGCGACUUGCCAGGAAAGGCUCCAUGAGAGCAGGUCAAGGUGGCCAUGCAUAUCUUAAAGAAUGGUUGUGGUGGACUGGAUUGCUAUCAAUGGGAGCAGGUGAGGUGGCCAACUUUGCUGUAUAUACCUUUGUACCAGCCACCCUAGUGACUCCGUUUGGAGCUCUCAGCGUACUAGUAAGUGCCAUUCUUUCUUCAUACUUCCUAAAUGAAAGACUUAAUCUUCAUGGGAAAAUUGGAUGUUUGCUAAGUAUUCUAGGAUCUACAGUUAUGGUCAUUCAUGCUCCCAAAGAAGAGGAAAUUGAGACUUUAAAUGAAAUGUCCACAAGCUGGGAGAUCCAGGUUUUGUGGUCUUUGCAACACUUGUGGUCAUUGUGUCACUGAUAUUAAUCUUCGCGGUGGGACCUCGCCAUGGACAAACAUUCUUGUGUACAUAACAAUCUGCUCUGUAAUUGGAGCAUUUUCCGUCUCCUGUGUUAAGGGCCUGGGCAUUGCUAUCAAAGAGCUGUUUGCUGGAAAGCCUGUGCUGCGACAUCCCCUGGCCUGGAUUCUGCUGCUGAGCCUUAUAGUCUGUGUGAGCACACAGAUUAAUUACCUGAACAGGGCCCUGGAUAUAUUCAAUACUUCCAUUGUGACUCCAAUAUAUUAUGUAUUCUUUACAACAUCAGUUUUAACUUGUUCAGCUAUUCUUUUUAAGGAGUGGCAAGAUAUGCCUGUUGAUGAUGUCAUUGGUACUUUGAGUGGCUUCUUUACAAUCAUUGUGGGAAUAUUCUUGUUGCAUGCCUUUAAAGACGUCAGCUUUAGUCUAGCAAGUCUCCCUGUGUCUUUUCGAAAAGACGAAAAAGCAAUGAAUGGCAAUCUCUCUAACAUGUAUGAAGUUCUUAAUAAUAAUGAAGAAAGCUUAACCUGUGGAAUUGAACAACAAAGUGGUGAAAAUAUCUCCCGAAGAAAUGGAAAUCUCACAGCUUUUUAAGAAAAAUGUAAUUAAAAGGUUAAUCU